rnacentral:lncRNA from 1 species
GUCAGCAUGAACAUGGAGGAGGACGUCUUCGAGGGAGAGCUGGCAGGGUCUAGCACAGACCCGAUGUGUAUCCUGUAGCCUCAAGCUGUCCAGAAAGCUGCCAUCAGCCCUCCCUGAUGUGGGGUGCCGGCUGUCCGGGCUGAGCCACCAAUGCACAAGACACACCCUGGCCCAAAGUGCAUCACUAAGAGCCUCUCACAUUCUUCUGCUUCAAACAGGACCCAGGAGUACCGACUGAGGCAUUCGCCACCUUUAUUUACAGAACAGAUUUUGUCCAGCUUAGGAGUCAUCAGAUAAAGGAAGAAAACAUCUCAUUACAAAGUAGAAUUUCCCUGGAGACUCUCGGUCCCCAUAAAGGUGGUGGUCCUAGGGGGCAACAGAGACAAACUUCAGCAUCAGCAUUUUGACCUCCUUAGGAAAGCUGCUUGAGAGAGUCCAUACUCAGGUAUAAAACUUUCAAGGACAAAUUUAAGGAAAAUGGAAAACUAUUUCUACUUGUGGCUUCCUUACCAAGAACUUUCUCCUUUACAAGAAAAUGACUGCAUUCUGAUGGGAUCUGUGUGUUAAUAGUGAGACAAAAGUAUAAUCACCAUUUUUCAGAGACCCCUGUGGACUUUGACAAUGAGGUGCCAUGGGAGAUGGGCUAUUUUUCUCACAGUAGAGUCCCAAUAGGUGCUUUAUUUUGAAAUGUUC